rnacentral:lncRNA from 1 species
GCAGGCGAGGGACUAAAACUAUGGACUCCAUUGUUUAAAUAGGAACGGCUUACCACCACACUACAAGAACUCAUGUGAUGUCUAAUGAACUUUUGUUAUUUAGCCUUGUUAACACCUUCAAAUAUUUACGUUGAAACACCACUAUGGUUGGCAAGACAAAAAAGCCUAUGAAAACAUGGUAUCGCAUAUAUUAGAAUAAUCCGGCAAAAAAAUACAAAAAAAAUUGAAAUCAUAGUAUGUCAGAAGUUGCAAAUCACGCAUUUUUUCGCGCAAAUAUCGCGCGCUUCGUAGCCGGUGGGAUUUGAACUCAAACCUCACCGUCACGUCACGCAUAAGCAUAACCUCCUCUACCACUCUACUCAUCACUAACUUAUGUCUAUAUUUGAGUUUAAUUCCCCCAU